CUUUCCCGCGCGACCGGCGAGGGAGGAAGAAGCGCGAAGAGCCGUUAGUCAUGCCGGUGUGGUGGCGGCGGCGGAGACUGCGGGCCCGUAGCUGGGCUCUGCGAGGUGCAAGAAAGCCUUUGAGGUGAAGGUGUAUGAAAGUCAUCAUAACAGAUGUUUUCCAAAAACUUGUAGAAGGUUGUGAAAAAACUACUAGGAUCACGCGGCAUGUAUUGAGGUUGCUGUAGAUGAAUGUUCUUAGCUGUCAUGUUUAAAAAUACUUCUGCUUCGUUACCUCAAGUGUGGCAUGCAGCAUUUUGGAAGGAAAAUUGAAGACGUGUUCAAGAAAACAUGAACAGAAGCAAAUGAUGAAAAUGAGCAUUUUACUUGAUGUUGAUAACAUCACAAUAAAUUAUGGAGAAAAAUACAUAUUUGGCUAACUUUUAAUUGCUGAACAAUAAAGUGUUUUCUUUUAAAUCAA
rnacentral:lncRNA from 1 species